UCAAGCGAAACAAGGGUUUAUGGAGGAUGCCUAGGCGUAUACCGGCGAAGAAGGCCGCGGCAAGCUGCGAAAAGCGGCGGGGAGGAGCACACAUCCUUUGAUCCGCCGAUAGCCGAAUGGGGUAACCCGGCAGACGCGAGUCUGCCAUCCGCAUCUGAAUACAUAGGGCGCGGAAGCGACACUGGGGGAACUGAACCAUCUCAGUACCCCGGGAAGAGAAAUCAACAUGAGAUUCCGGAAGUAGCGGCGAGCGAAACCGGAGGAGCCUAAACCACUCUGAGGAGUGGGGUUGCAGGACCGCGAUAACUGGAUGUCCAUGAUAAGAGAACGGUUUUGGGAAAGCCGGCCAGAGAGGGUGAAAGCCCCGUAUCUGAAAUUAUGAACGUUUGGGAGCGGUAUCCUAAGUACGGCGGGGCACGAGAAACCCCGCGGGAAUCCGGGUCGACCACGAUCCAAGGCUAAAUACGGUAUACGACCGAUAGCGCAGCAGUACCGUGAGGGAAAGGCGAAAAGAACCCCGGUGAGGGGAGUGAAAGAGAACCUGAAACCGUAAACCCACAACAGGUCAAAGCCGCGGAAACGCGGUGAUGGCGUGCCUUUUGUAGAAUGAGCCUGCGAGUUAUGAUAUAUAGCGAGGUUAAGGCGCCGAAGCGCCGGAGCCGGAGGGAAACCGAGUCUGAACAGGGCGGAAUUAGUUGUAUGUCAUAGACCCGAAGCCAGGUGAUCUAGUUACGCGCAGGCUGAAGGCAGGGUAAAACCUGUUGGAGGGCCGAACCCUAGUCUGUUUAAAAAGGCAGGGAUGACGCGUGACUUGGAGCGAAAGACUAAACAAACCUGGAAAUAGCUGGUUCUCCCCGAAAUGCCUUGAGGGACAGCCUCAUGCAAAUCUUGCGCAGGUAGAGCACUGGAUGGACUAGGGGGCUUCACCGCCUACCAAACCCAAUCAAACUCCGAAUGGCGCAAGACAACGUAUGGGAGUGAGACUGCGGGCGACAAGGUUCGUAGUCGAGAGGGAAACAGCCCUGACCGCCGGCUAAGGUCCCGGAUAGCAUGCUGAGUGUGAAAUGAUGUGUCGUGGCGCAGACAGCCAGGAGGUUGGCUUAGAAGCAGCCAUUCCUUGAAAGAGUGCGUAACAGCUCACUGGUCGAGUCACGGCGCGCAGACAAUGUAACGGGGCUAAGCAUGCAACCGAAGCCGCGGAUUCAUAGCGCAAGCUAUGGAUGGUAGGGGAGCAUUCCACGGACCGACGAAGGCAUACUGUAAGGUAUGCUGGAGGGGGUGGAAGAGAGAAUGCAGGUAUAAGUAGACGAAAAGAGGGGUGAGAUUCCCCUCCGCCGAAAGCCUAAGGAUUCCUGGGUAAAGGUCAUCUGCCCAGGGUAAGUCGGCCCCUAAGACGAGGGCGAAAGCCGUAGUCGAUGGGAAACUGGUUCAUAUUCCAGUACCGUUCUUGGUUUUAAGGGAUGACGCGUGAGGUGAAACCCGGCCGGGUGACGGAAGUCCCGGUCGAAGCUUCGAGUUAAUGGGGGCGGAGGAAACGCCUUCAGGCGAGGAGUGACAGCGAGCGGAGCUACGGCGAAGCGAAGCGGGUGUAAUCAAGGCGCCGAGAAAUAAUCCCCUCUAGUUAGGCCAGGAAGACCGUACCGCAAACCGACACAGGUAGGCGGGAUGAGCAAUCUCAGGCGCUCGAGAGAACUCGCGUUAAGGAACUCGGCAAAAUACGCACGUAACUUCGGGAGAAGUGCGGCCAACCUUUGUUUAGCAAUAGGUAAAGGGCGGCGACACAAAGCAGUCCCAGGCGACUGUUUACCAAAAACACAGGCCUCCGCCAACCAGCAAUGGGACGUAUGGGGGCUGACACCUGCCCGGUGCCGGAAGGUUAAGGGGAGCGGUUAAUCGUAAGAUGAAGCUGUGAACCGAAGCCCCGGUAAACGGCGGCCGUAACUAUAACGGUCCUAAGGUAGCGAAAUUCCUUGUCGGGUAAGUUCCGACCCGCACGAAAGGUGUAACGAUCUGGGAGCUGUCUCAACGCGAGACUCGGUGAAAUUUAAGUACCGGUAAAGAUGCCGGUUACCCGUGGUUAGACGGAAAGACCCCGUGAACCUUCACCGUAACUUAUCAUGGGAACUUGGUUAGACAUGUGUAGGAUAGGUGGGAGGCUGUGAGGCGUGGGCGUUAGCUUGCGCGGAGCCAAUGGUGAAAUACCACCCUUGUCUGAUUAGGUUUCUAACCCGUGCCGUGAAACCGGUAUGGGGACAGUGGUAGGCAGGCGGUUUGACUGGGGCGGUCGCCUCCUAAAGAGUAACGGAGGUGCGCGAAGGUCUCCUCGCGCCGGUUGGAAAUCGGCGCAUGAGUGUAAAGGCACAAGGAGGCUUGACUGCGAGGCCGACAGGCCGAGCAGGUACGAAAGUAGGUCUUAGUGAUCUGGCGGCAGCGAGUGGAAGCGCCGUCACUUAACGGAUAAAAGGUACUCCGGGGAUAACAGGCUGAUCUUCCCCAAGAGUCCACAUCGACGGGAAGGUUUGGCACCUCGAUGUCGGCUCAUCGCAUCCUGGGGCUGAAGCAGGUCCCAAGGGUUUGGCUGUUCGCCAAUUAAAGCGGUACGUGAGCUGGGUUCAGAACGUCGCGAGACAGUUCGGUCCCUAUCUGCCAUGGGCGUUGGAUGGUUGAGAGGAGCUGUUUUUAGUACGAGAGGACCGAAAUGGACGAACCUCUGGUGUACCGGUUGUCCUGCCAAGGGCAAGCGCCGGGUAGCUACGUUCGGAAGGGAUAACCGCUGAAGGCAUCUAAGCGGGAAGCCCGCCUCAAGAUAAACCAUCCCUGGGGGUUUAACCCCCCUAAAGGUACCAGGAAGACUACCUGGUCGAUAGGUUGGAGGUCUAAGCGUGGUAACACGUUCAGCCGACCAAUACUAAUCUGCCGUGAGGCUUGACCAU
rnacentral:rRNA from 1 species